UCAGGCCUGAAGCCUCCCCAAAGGCAGGUUCUGCCUUGAGUCAUCAUCAGACAAGAUCUGCUAAUGGGGUCAUCGCAGAUGCCCACAGGCCCCAGAUGCUACAGCUGCCCAGUGGUUUCACCUGCUUCUGCCUGUCACUUCCCCCACCCCCAUCCCAGAGGUGCUUGUAAAGGAAGCAUCUUUUCAGGUGUCUUCAUUUUCCCAGCUCCUGGUGGAGAUGGAGAUAUGCUAUCGGGAGUCCUUUCAGAAAGUGCCCAGUCUUUACAGCCCAGCACCUCGAGAGCAGCCUCAGCCCCAGCUUGUUCAGGGGAUGGGUGCUGCAGGCUGCUCAGCCCCAGUGAGAGCCGAGAUACCGGCUGCUGAUGCUUCCAGCCUCCUUUGUUCUUUUAUUUGCCCAGCCCUGAGCAAACAAGCCACAAUAAACUAAAUGGCAUUUGGAUAUUAAAAAUGCAAAGAGAAAGUGCUCAAAGGACAAUAAAGGAGUGAGCAGAGGUUGCCUGCGGGAGGAGAUUACAUUGUCCUGCUCUCCUCCAAAGCACCAGUCGUUUCCAAAUAAGAAAUGGUUAUCUGAAGCCUGAGGAGGCCCUGUGUCAGUUUUGCUCGGCCUUAUUUGACGGGAUACUGACUCAGAAUCUGAUUUUGCAGGCAGGACAUCAGCACACAUCUUAGCUAGGCCCGAUAUAAGAAGACCGGGGCCAAAGUACCAGGGAAUGAAAUCUACCAAAUCACAUUAUGUCCAGGUACAAAUAUACCACAAUGAAUACAGCUUUUAUAUAUGAUGACAAUACACUAAUUAAAAUAAUUAAUAAAAGUCGAAGGGAGAUUAGUAGAGUACAGCAAGGAGAUUGGAGGAGGGAGAAGGAAGAUACAAGGAAUGAGAUUGAUCAAAUCAUGUUAUGUGCAUGCAUAAAUAUGCCUAAUGAUUCCCACUAUUAUGUAUAAUUGUAAAGUACCAAUAAAAUUUUUCUUAAGAAUGCACAUGUGCAUGUGCACACCAGAUCUCAGAGGCCCUUAGCCUCUCUGGGAAGGAACACUAGAUAAGAACAACUGGAGUAUAACAAAGACCCAAAUCAAGAGGCCAUUACUUCACUUUGGUCCUCCCUGCUCAUCAAUGACUUCUUCCCCUCAGCAAAGCAGCACUGGGCUGGCUGUCCCUCGAUGGUACAGAAUUAGGUUUAUACCUUCCCACAGUCAGUCAAUUCGCUCUCAUUAGAUCAGGGCUCAGCAAACUAUGGGCCAUGUAAUUUUUGCACAUUAAGUUUUACUGGAACAUGACUACUACGCUCGUUCAUCUGUACGUCUGUGGCUGCCUUUUGUGUUUAGAAGGGCAGAGUCAGGUUACUGCCAUAGAGAUGGUCGGCUGAGCUGAAAAUUACCUGGCCCUUUGCAGAAAAAGUUUGCUGACCCAUGAUUAGACCUAGGUGGAGAGUAGGGACUAGGUCUCUUCAUAUUUUAAUCCCUAGGCACAAUGCUUUUCAGAAGAUGGACUUCUAGAAAUGCUUAAUUAAGGAAGUGUCCAAGCUGGAGAAAAUGAAGAGCAUCAAGAGGAAACAGUUAAAUUGCUUAAGAGAAGAAGCCGGUUUCAAGGACUUUAAAAGCCUUCAUUUACAUGUACAGAGUUGAUAAGCUAAUUACACAACAAUAUUGUCCUAACCCGAAAAGCAGCCCCCUAAGGUCUUGUUAGAUAACACCUUGUUAACCUAGUUCAAGGAAACCUGCUGUUUCUUGAAAAUAAUAAAAGUUCAAUUUCUGUAAUCCGCA